UGAAUAAAGAUGGUGAUUGUUUUGCGUACUUGAGAGGAAAAUUCCCUGCAAUAAGUGAUGCGAAAUUGAAAGAGGGAAUUUUUGAUGGACCCCAAAUACGAUCUUUAUUUCAGGAUGCAAAUUUUGAAGGAACAAUGAACGACACAGAAAAAGCAGCUUGGAUUCUCAUCUUGACCACUUCCCUGACAAUUGUUGAGACUAUAGUGAAGAACAGGGAGAACGUUUUCACCAAGACAUCAGUGAAAUGGAGAGUAGAUACCAAGGAAAUUGGAGUGUUAACAUGAUGGCAGAUUUUUGUUGGAUGUUAAAAAGAGAAGUACCCGAAGAAAAUCGUAAACGAAAGAGGAAUCCACUACGAAGAUCAUUUGAGGAUAAAAGAGUGCGAUACAAACGAAGGAAAGUUUAGGAUUCGUAAAAAUCAUUUCUUUCUAUCUUUUUAUGUCUUGUGUUUUUCACAGAUUUCAAGUUAUUUGAUAUAUCUACGUUAUAGAGUA